rnacentral:rRNA from 1 species
AUUGAACGCUGGCGGCAGGCCUAACACAUGCAAGUCGAGCGGAUGAAGGGAGCUUGCUCCUGGAUUCAGCGGCGGACGGGUGAGUAAUGCCUAGGAAUCUGCCUGGUAGUGGGGGAUAAAGUCCGGAAACGGGCGCUAAUACCGCAUACGUCCUGAGGGAGAAAGUGGGGGAUCUUCGGACCUCACGCUAUCAGAUGAGCCUAGGUCGGAUUAGCUAGUUGGUGGGGUAAAGGCCUACCAAGGCGACGAUCCGUAACUGGUCUGAGAGGAUGAUCAGUCACAACUGAAAUGAGACACGGGCCAAGCCCCCAAGGGAGGCAGGAGUGGGGAAAUUUGGACAAUGGGCGAAAACCUUAUCCAGCCAUGCCGCGUGGGUGAAGAAAGUCUUCGGAGUGUAAAGCACUUUUAGUUGGGAGGAAGGGCAGUAAGUUAAUAACUUGCUGUUUUGACGUUACCAACAGAAUAAGCACCGGCUAACUUCGUG